AUUGAACGCUGGCGGCAUGCCUUACACAUGCAAGUCGAACGGCAGCGCGAACUUCGGUCUGGCGGCGAGUGGCGAACGGGUGAGUAAUACAUCGGAACGUACCCUGUUGUGGGGGAUAACUAGUCGAAAGAUAGCUAAUACCGCAUACGACCUGAGGGUGAAAGUGGGGGACCGCAAGGCCUCACGCAGCAGGAGCGGCCGAUGUCUGAUUAGCUAGUUGGUGGGGUAAAGGCCCACCAAGGCGACGAUCAGUAGCUGGUCUGAGAGGACGAUCAGCCACACUGGGACUGAGACACGGCCCAGACUCCUACGGGAGGCAGCAGUGGGGAAUUUUGGACAAUGGGGGCAACCCUGAUCCAGCAAUGCCGCGUGUGUGAAGAAGGCCUUCGGGUUGUAAAGCACUUUUGUCCGGAAAGAAAUCGCGCUGGUUAAUACCUGGCGUGGAUGACGGUACCGGAAGAAUAAGCACCGGCUAACUACGUGCCAGCCGCCGCUGUAA
rnacentral:rRNA from 1 species